GAGGAAAACCCUCAAGCUGAAUGAAAUCCCAAUAGAGAGAAUAAUAGAGAAAGUCUGGGCUGCAAUAUGAUCCAUGCUGAACUUUAAAGGUGGGCCUCUUAAAGAAAGUUCUGGAAAAAUGUUACUGCCUCACCCCUAACUCCCUCAACCCCCAUUUAUAUCUAUGCCUAAACUAUUCUAUAUAAUGAAAACAUCUGUUCUAUAGGCUUUUAUGAAAAAAUGAAUAUGAUCUCUUUUGUCCUCCUUUAAAUUCUUUAAAAUUAGAGUGGUUCCUGAACAAAUCCUUUUCUAAAUUGUACAUUUUGCAACAAUUCAAAAAUUGUCACAAGUUCUCUUUUGCGAAACAUUUAUUAAAAAGGUUCCCCAAGUUAUCUUUCGUAAAAACAAUUUACUUUUUAAAUUACCCUUUUGAUUAUCCCCAAACUGGUAUAAAGAACAUAGAAGUUAUCUCUUCUAUUCAUAGUUUUUAGUUACAAUAUAAAAAGCAAGGAUAAAUUUAGUUAUCUUCUCCCCUUAGAUGACAUAAUAAAGCCAUCCUUUGUUUUUUUCUAUUGUGACCUGAAGGCUUGCAUAUUAAUUAUUUUUAAUAGAACAAGAGAUAUUUAAAACCUAUAUAGUUCCUUUUACACAAGGAAACUGAAAAAAAACACAUUAGGUAAUAACAGAAGCUUAUUUUCUCAAGAAUUAUAUUUUUACUAAUUGAUGCCUUACUAAAGAAGAAAGAUAGCUAUAAGGGACUCUGGCAAUGUUUAAGUUUUUCCGAAAAAUUUUUUUCAACUCUGUAUAAACAGAAUUUCACAACUUGCUUUCAUUUCAUGUAUAUUUAAUGUCUUUCUUCACAUUAAAGGGCCUUUUUGAUUCUAAGAAACUAACCAUCACUGCUCACCCCCCAAUUUUCUCCCUCAGGAUGACUUUUAGUCUGGAGAUAGAGGGGACCCGAUGGUGUCCUUGGCAUAAGUACAGGAAUAGGAAUCUUAAGAACUGAUUUGUAGAGGGUCACCCAAGGAGUGCCUGCAAGUGCUCGGGGGCACCCCGACAACCCAUUUUUGUUGCAAACUUUUAACAAAUGUAAAGGAAUUGUACUUAUUUUUAAAUUGCAUGAGCUAAAUUAAGGACCAAAAGUAAAAGCUCACUUUAUAAACCCCUGCUGGCUGAAGGCAGGAUAGGAUGGUCGUUUAUACGCUGGUAGAGAUACCGGCAUGUAUACACACACAUCGUAAAAUAACCUUAUCUCUUUCCAGGGUAAUUAGAGCAAUGUUUAACUUUAUUUUGAUAUCACUUUAUAAGGAGAUAUACAAAUAUUUUAGAGGUCAUGGGAUCUAUUCCAGAGGAAACUAACCAACAGUGACAUCUUCAACUAAAACUACCCCUGGAUAUGAUGGAAAUAAAAGGAAAAUACAACUUGAUAAUGUGAAAAAGUUCACUCAUCCACCAGCGUCCAUCCUUUCUAAAGAGAAGCCAAAGCUUUCAAUUACUCUACAAGAGAUCUGCUCUUUAAAAACAUCCCAUUUUCCUCUUUUCUAAGGAGACUAUCUCACCCAGCACAUAUAGGUCCACAUAAUAGCUAAGCGACCAUCACUCAGAAAUUCCAACUUAAAAUAAUUAGAAGGUCAGACUCUAACCUGAAAGGAGACAGGAAAUUGUCUUUAGUGAAGAGAGAAACUUUCUUACUUGGUUUCUUCUAUUUUUUUCACCUUAGUGUGCUGCAAACUAUGUAAAUAGGAAUAUUUACCCAGAUUUUGAAAGUAUCUUACUGAAAGCUUCAUCAGUUUUAAUAAAUAGAGAUAAUGAAGUAAAUUAAGGAAAAUAAUUAAAUCUUCAUUUUGAAUUUCCUGACCUAUCGUGACAGCCAGUUUCCUGAAGUUGCGUUAGUUUAAUUUUAAAGGAUUUAGAAGAUAGUUCUUUUAUUACAUUUUUUUCUUAAGAUAAUAAAUAAAAGACAAAAGAAAAUAAGGUGUAAUAAGCAUAUUAAAAAUUACAUGGUAUGAUAAUAAUGUAAACAGCUCUUUUAUAUUUUAGCUAGUAUUUUAAGUAAUAACGAAUUGAUAUUCACUCUAGCUGGGAGAUGGAAAAAAAGUCUUAAAUGUUUUUUUCAGCAUUCUGUCUUUUUAACAAGAUUAAGGGCAGGUUCAACAUAACUAUGAAGUAUGCAUAUGCCACAUACUAUAAUUGUAGUUUAAAAAGCUUUAGAAACAUAAAUUUUUCAAAAGUCUUAUGAAGAGUAGUCAUUUUUCAGCAAGAUUUUUUCCCCCUGGAAAAAAGUUAUGGUUUUUCAGGCUCAAAUAUUUUUGGAUUAUCUUGGUUUAAUAGAGCUGUUUCAUAUUAAAAAUAGAACAUAUAAACUCACAAAUAUUUCUUUCUAUUUUUUCAGGUUGCAUGCAUCAUUCCUUUAAUUGAGCAGAGUUAACUGGAUCAAAUUAUUUAUGGGAGAGAGAGGGAAAGCUAUACAGAAUUACAGUAAUUUUUAAUUUCCACCAAUAUACGCUUUGUAAGUGAAUCACUCUAAAUAUUUUCUGUUACACUGAAUGCAGCAACAAUAACAAAAUAGUUUCAUAAGGUAUUUGUUUUUGCAUACUCUGACCUUGUAAUUAUAUAAAUAGCAGCCAAGUUUACUGAUGUUUUUGAUUCUGUCAGAAAAAAAAAAUGUUCUCUACUCAGAAUGAUGAACAGAAACAGAAUCAUUUAUUUUCUUGAAAUCAAAUAAAUAAAUGGAAAAUUGCUCUUAUCAACUCUUUGUUAAAACUGUACCAUAUCUAACCAAUGCAUAAAAGUUCAGAUGUGUAGAAAGCUGUAAUUUUUUCAGUCUCUAAAAACAUUUUCCUCUCCAUAAAGUUCCUGUUUGCUAUUUUCUAAGAAUUUUAUAAUUAAAGGGAAAUAAGAAACUAUGUGUUUUCUUUAAAAUUCUUUGGAAAAAGUCCCAAACUACACACUCCUUGGACAAUAAGGUUUUGUUUUGUUUUUAAAGAAAUCCCACUUACUGGAAUUUUGACUAUCUAAAUAUUUUGUUUUUUUAAAGAACAGGAGAAUUUAUUAAAUACCUCCAUGGAUGUGAAUUGAUCAUUUAUAUUAAAAUAGCCAGUAGGAUUAUCCUUGAGCCAUGAGAAUUACAUUUUCUAUCUGUGUAUUUAACACCAUUAACUCUCUCUUAUAUAAAUUAUAAGAAAAUUUUCCAAGGGGUCUGGUUUUACUUUUUGGAUAUGAAAUGAAGCUUCCUUUCCUAUGUUUAAGGUACGAUUCUGUAACUAUACUCUACUCCCAUGUCCAGAACACAUUCUGAGCAGCACUGUGGGUAAUGACUUUUUAGUUCAUACCCUUUUGAUUCAUCGCAGGGUGCUGCAGUUAAUUGAGAGGGGGAGCACGUAAGCUUACAACUGUUUCUUAUUUGGUUUUCACAUCCAUACUUAAAAACUUUGCAUUGAAAAGAAUAUGAGAAAUUCAAAUUAGUUCCCACCGCUUUGUGAAGUAUUGGCAAAACUACAUCCCCUUGUAAAAUACCACUAUCAAAGCAUCGGAUACCAAAGUUGGCUGGUCGAACUGCCAGAUACAUUAGGCUCAUUAAUUAUUUUGAAAAUGGCCGCCGUUUCCAUGUAAAUGACAAGUUUCUUUUUCAUGGGCAAGGCUAUGGUACUUAUCUACUACAAGAAACAUGUAUAAACAUAGUCUUUAUCUUUAACUUCAGCAUUAAAAUAUGCAGUUUUUGUGAAGAGGAAAAACAUCUGGUUCAAUUACUCUGAACUCUGACUGCAUGUGGGCCAGUAAUCAUAAUAUGAAUUGGAUUUAAGAAUAAACCUUGUGUUUAAUCUUUUUUUUUGUUUUGUUUUUUUCCUUAAAAUGCAAUGUGAGUUUUCUGUUAACGUCCAUUAUCCAUGUUAGCACAUUUGGAACAAAUGUAAAAGUGUACUUUCUGAAUAAAGUCAAAAGUCUACCUUGUUUUAGUUCCAUAAUGUUUUAAUGUUUAAUUCUAUUGUGUGUUUUUCUCCCUUUCCCCUCACCCUCCAAAAUCACCAAAUCUGGAAAACAGACUGAUUGUGUCUGCCCAUGAGCAAAGGAAACCCGAAGGAACCAAGGGCCUGGCUGGACGGAGUUGUCAUGUGUCUGCCUGUCUACACUUGCUGUGCAGAACAUCCGCUCACCUGUACAGCAGGCACAGACAGGCAGUCACAUGACAACCCAGCCUGAAUGACAACCAGCCAUUGAGAGAAAGCAGCCCUCACACCAUAGCAUCUACACCAAGAGCUACAACCAAAAUGAGGGGCGCGGGGGCCUGGGGGUUGGAUCUGUUGGUUUAAUACUUAAUUCGUAUGUAUUAUUUUAUUAUUAUUUUUGAUUCGAAUAUUGAAACCCACCAAAAGUAAAGUGAGUGGUGCCUAUGAAAUAUAAUAAAACCCAUUUCUGAAAAUGUU